GCAUCUAUAGCUUAGUUGGAUAGAGCGGUGGACUUCGAAUCCAAAGGUCGGGGGUUCAAAUCCCUCUAGAUGCACCA
rnacentral:tRNA from 2 species